rnacentral:rRNA from 1 species
GCAUAUCAAUAAGCGGAGGAAAAGAAACCAACAGGGAUUGCCCCAGUUAACGGCGAAGUGAAGCGGCAAAAGCUCAAAUUUGAAAUCUGGCUCCUUAGGGGUCCGAGUUGUAAUUUGUAGAGGAUGCUUCGGGUGCGGCCACGGCCUAAGUUCCUUGGAACAGGACGUCAUAGAGGGUGAGAAUCCCGUCUUGGGUCGUUGGUCCACGCCCGUGUGAAGCUCCUUCGACGAGUCGAGUUGUUUGGGAAUGCAGCUCUAAGCGGGUGGUAAAUUUCAUCUAAAGCUAAAUAUUGGCCGGAGACCGAUAGCGCACAAGUAGAGUGAUCGAAAGGUUAAAAGCACCUUGAAAAGGGAGUUAAACAGCACGUGAAAUUGUUGAAAGGGAAGCGCUUGCGGCCAGACUCGGGCGCGGGGUUCAGCGGGUGCGUGUCACCCGUGUACUCCCCGCCGCCCGGGCCAGCAUCAGUUCUGACGGCCGGUCAAAGGCCCCCGGAAUGUGUCGUCUCUCGGGACGUCUUAUAGCCGGGGGUGCAAUGCGGCCCGUCGGGACUGAGGAACGCGCUUCGGCUCGGAUGCUGGCGUAAUGGCCGUAAGCGGCCCGUCUUGAAACACGGACCAAGGAGUCUAACAUCCACGCGAGUGUUCGGGUGUCAAACCCGUGCGCGCAGUGAAAGCGAACGGAGGUGGGAGCCUUAGGGCGCACCAUCGACCGAUCCUGAAGUCUUCGGAUGGAUUUGAGUAGGAGCGUGGCCGUUGGGACCCGAAAGAUGGUGAACUAUGCCUGAAUAGGGUGAAGCCAGAGGAAACUCUGGUGGAGGCUCGCAGCGGUUCUGACGUGCAAAUCGAUCGUCAAAUUUGGGCAUAGGGGGCGAAAGACUAAUCGAACCAUCUAGUAGCUGGUUCCUGCCGA